UACGGAGGGUGCGAGCGUUGUCCGGAAUCACUGGGCGUAAAGGGCGCGUAGGCGGCCUGAUAAGUCGGGGGUGAAAUCCUGCGGCUUAACCGCAGGGCUGCCUUCUAAACUGUCAGGCUCGAGCACAGUAGAGGCAGGUGGAAUUCCUGGUGUAGCGGUGAAAUGCGUAGAUAUCUGGAGGAAUACCGGUGGCGAAGGCGGCAUCCUGGACCGGCAUUGACGCUGAGGAGCGAAAGCUAGGGGAGCAAACGGG
rnacentral:rRNA from 1 species